rnacentral:siRNA from 1 species
AUCACAGCAGUGACUGCAACCAUA